UGGGGAAUAUUGGACACUGGGCGAAAGCCUGAUCCAGCCAUGCCGCGUGUGUGAAGAAGGUCUUCGGAUAGUAAAGCACUUUAAGUUGGGAGGAAGGGCAGUAAGCGAAUACCUUGCUGUUUUGACGUUACCGACAGAAUAAGCACCGGCUAACUCUGUGCCAGCAGCCGCGGUAAUACAGAGGGUGCAAGCGUUAAUCGGAAUUACUGGGCGUAAAGCGCGCGUAGGUGGUUCGUUAAGUUGAAUGUGAAAGCCCCGGGCUCAACCUGGGAACUGCAUCCAAAACUGGCGAGCUAGAGUAGGGCAGAGGGUGGUGGAAUUUCCUGUGUAGCGGUGAAAUGCGUAGAUAUAGGAAGGAACACCAGUGGCGAAGGCGACCACCUGGGCUCAUACUGACACUGAGGUGCGAAAGCGUGGGGAGCAAACAGG
rnacentral:rRNA from 1 species